GACGAACGCUGGCGGCGUGCUUAACACAUGCAAGUCGAACGGAACCUUCGGGUUUAGUGGCGAACGGGUGAGUAAAGCGCAGGUAAUCUGCCGCAAAGAUGGGGACAACGUUUCGAAAGGGACGCUAAUACCGAAUGAAGUAGUAGAGUCGCAUGAAUUUACUACCAAAGAUUUAUCGCUUUGCGAGGAGCCUGCGUCCGAUUAGGUAGUUGGUGGGGUAAGAGCCUACCAAGCCGACGAUCGGUAGCCGGUCUGAGAGGAUGAACGGCCACAAUGGAACUGAGACACGGUCCAUACUCC
rnacentral:rRNA from 1 species